rnacentral:tRNA from 1 species
GAGGGUAUAGCUCAUUGGUAAACUGCAUGCCUAGCAUGCGUGAGGUCCUGGGUUCAACCCCUAGUACCUCCA